rnacentral:rRNA from 1 species
AUUGAACGCUGGCGGCAGGCCUAACACAUGCAAGUCGAGCGGAUGAAGGGAGCUUGCUCCUGGAUUCAGCGGCGGACGGGUGAGUAAUGCCUAGGAAUCUGCCUGGUAGUGGGGGAUAACGUCCGGAAACGGGCGCUAAUACCGCAUACGUCCUGAGGGAGAAAGUGGGGGAUCUUCGGACCUCACGCUAUCAGAUGAGCCUAGGUCGGAUUAGCUAGUUGGUGGGGUAAAGGCCUACCAAGGCGACGAUCCGUAACUGGUCUGAGAGGAUGAUCAGUCACACUGGAACUGAGAAACGGUCCAGACUCCUACGGGAGGCAGAAGUGGGGAAUAUUGGACAAUGGGCGAAAGCCUGAUCCAGACAUGCCGCGUGUGUGAAGAAGGUCUUAGGAUUGUAAAGCACUUUAAGUUGGGAGGAAGGGCAGUAAGUUAAUACCUUGCUGUUUUGACGUUACCAACAGAAUAAGCACCGGCUAACUUCGUG